UACGUAGGGGGCAAGCGUUGUCCGGAUUUACUGGGCGUAAAGAGCGCGUAGGCGGAAGCUUAAGUGUGGCCUGAAAGCCCCCGGCUCAACCGGGGAGGGUGGCUGCAAACUGGGCUUCUUGAGGGCGGCAGAGGAGAGUGGAAUUCCUGGUGUAGCGGUGAAAUGCGUAGAUAUCGGGAGGAACACCUGUGGCGAAAGCGGCGCACUGGACCAUAACUGACGCUGAUGCGCGAAAGCUAGGGGAGCAAACAGG
rnacentral:rRNA from 1 species